UACGGAGGGUGCGAGCGUUGUCCGGAAUCACUGGGCGUAAAGGGCGCGUAGGCGGCCUGAUAAGUAGGGGGUGAAAUCCUGCGGCUUAACCGCGGGGCUGCCUUCUAAACUGUCAGGCUGGAGCACAGUAGAGGCAGGUGGAAUUCCCGGUGUAGCGGUGGAAUGCGUAGAGAUCGGGAAGAACAUCAGUGGCGAAGGCGGCCUGCUGGGCUGUUGCUGACGCUGAGGCGCGACAGCGUGGGGAGCAAACGGG
rnacentral:rRNA from 1 species